UUAAAGCCAUUUCACCGAAUCUGCGUAAAGGAUUGAAGCGGCAUCCCCUGAUUUAUCAGGGAUAUAGCAAAAAGCCUGACCCUUU
rnacentral:sRNA from 1 species